CAGCCGCCGCGGGAAUACGGAGGGGGCUAGCGUUGUUCGGAAUUACUGGGCGUAAAGCGCACGUAGGCGGCUUGGUAAGUUAGAGGUGAAAGCCUGGAGCUCAACUCCAGAAUUGCCUUUAAGACUGCCGAGCUAGUAGGUGAGAGAGGUAAGUGGAAUUCCGAGUGUAGAGGUGAAAUUCGUAGAUAUUCGGAAGAACACCAGUGGCGAAGGCGGCUUACUGGCUCAUUCUAGACGCUGAGGUGCGAAAGCGUGGGGAGCAAACAGGAUUAGAUACCCCGGUAGUCCCUGUCUCUUAUAA
rnacentral:rRNA from 1 species